rnacentral:rRNA from 1 species
GGGAGGCAGCAGUGGGGAAUAUUGGACAAUGGGCGCAAGCCUGAUCCAGCAAUGCCGCGUGUGUGAAGAAGGCCAUUCGGGUUGUAAAGCACUUUUAUCAGGAGCGAAAUGCCAUUGGUUAAUACCCGGUGGAGCUGACGGUACCUGAGGAAUAAGCACCGGCUAACUUUGUGCCAGCAGCCGCGGUAAUACGAAGGGAUGCAAGCGUUAAUCGGAAUUACUGGGCGUAAAGCGUGCGUAGGCGGUUCGUUAAGUCUGUCGUGAAAUCCCCGGGCUCAACCUGGGAAUGGCGAUGGAUACUGGCGAGCUAGAGUGUGAUAGAGGAUGGUGGAAUUCCCGGUGUAGCGGUGAAAUGCGUAGAGAUCGGGAGGAACAUCAGUGGCGAAGGCGGCCAUCUGGAUCAACACUGACGCUGAGGCACGAAAGCGUGGGGAGCAAACAGGAUUAGAUACCCUGGUAGUCCACGCCCUAAACGAUGCGAACUGGAUGUUGGUCUCAACUCGGAGAUCAGUGUCGAAGCUAACGCGUUAAGUUCGCUGCCUGGGGCAGUACGUGUCAAAGA